GUAAUUAUAUACAUCUUUUGAGCUGACUAAUUGAAAAAUCUCCAGGUUCCUCCUAAUUCGCUUUGAUCUUUGUUUGCCCAGCCUUCAUGCUUUGGGGAAGGGAUCAGCUCUAACUGAUUACGAUUCACCUGAAAGCGACUUUGUCAGGUGUUUGUUUCAGACAACACAAUGAAGCACGGGCCACUGAAGCACUCUGCCUGACAGGGCUGCAGGUGCUGUUCAUUUGAAGGACCAGUCAUUCACUAACAUUCCAGCUCAGAGGAAAACUGUGCAGAUACCCCAGAGAGGAAAUCCCCUCAGAGUCACAGCUGACGCUUCAGUGCAUCUCUUCACGCACUGACAUGACAGACUGGCAUCUCCGGUGUGUUUGCAUAUCUUCCAACUGCGAACAAUCUGGUCUAAAAAGUAGGUAGUCUGAAAUCCGACAAAGGGGUAAUUCUCCCCAGGGCAUGCACAAGGGAAAGUGGCAGUUUGCAUGUUUGCCUCGCUCCUAUGAAACGUUCCCCUCUGCAUGCAGACGUUUAUGGAGCUCGUAGGUCUGCCAGGGCCCACAGCUGUGCAGGAUAAUGAGGGAGAGCAUGCCACACAGGACAGUGGGGAGCAGCUUGUUAGCAUAGUCCUCUGCCAGAGAAGGUGCAGCCGGGUUUCUGUUGCACUUUAAUUGGAAGAUCCAGUCAGCUUGUUUGUCUCUACAGGACAGAAUGUCAGCCACUUUCAGGCUUUGCUGCAAACAACACACUGCCAUCCACAAAUUAACAUUGGGGGCAUGAAUGACUCUGUGCUGCCAACUUGGAUAAUGUUUGACAUUCAGCCAUCAAUUGAGAGGAAGUUUUUCGUCUGCUCCCUCUGAGAACUGUCCUCACAAUUAAUUAAAGUCUAGAAAAGAAAC